AUUGAACGCUGGCGGCAUGCCUUACACAUGCAAGUCGAACGGCAGCACGGGUGCUUGCACCUGGUGGCGAGUGGCGAACGGGUGAGUAAUACAUCGGAACAUGUCCUGUAGUGGGGGAUAGCCCGGCGAAAGCCGGAUUAAUACCGCAUACGGUCUACGGAUGAAAGCGGGGGACCUUCGGGCCUCGCGCUAUAGGGUUGGCCGAUGGCUGAUUAGCUAGUUGGUGGGGUAAAGGCCUACCAAGGCGACGAUCAGUAGCUGGUCUGAGAGGACGACCAGCCACACUGGGACUGAGACACGGCCCAGACUCCUACGGGAGGCAGCAGUGGGGAAUUUUGGACAAUGGGCGAAAGCCUGAUCCAGCAAUGCCGCGUGUGUGAAGAAGGCCUUCGGGUUGUAAAGCACUUUUGUCCGGAAAGAAAUCCUUGGCCCUAAUACGGUCGGGGGAUGACGGUACCGGAAGAAUAAGCACCGGCUAACUACGUG
rnacentral:rRNA from 1 species